rnacentral:rRNA from 1 species
CACGUAUGGGGCGAGCGUUGUUCGGAAUUAUUGGGCGUAAAGGGUAUGCAGGCGGCUUUGCAAGUCUGGUGUGUAAGACCUCAGCUUAACUGAGGGAACGCAUCGGAAACUGCAAGGCUAGAGUACAGGAAGGGGAGUUGGAAUUCCAGGUGUAGGGGUGAAAUCUGUAGAUAUCUGGAAGAACAUCAGUGGCGAAGGCGAACUCCUGGCCAUGUACUGACGCUGAGAUACGAAAGCAUGGGGAGCAAACAGG